GAUGAACGCUGGCGGUAUGCUUAACACAUGCGAGUCGAACGGACUCUUCGGAGUUAGUGGCGGACGGGUGAGUAACGCGUGAGAAUCUGGCUGUGGGUUCGGGACAACCACUGGAAACGGUGGCUAAUACCGGAUGUGCCGAGAGGUAAAAGAGAAAUUGCCUGAAGAUGAGCUCGCGUCUGAUUAGCUAGUUGGUGAGGUAAAGGCUCACCAAGGCAGCGAUCAGUAGCUGGUCUGAGAGGAUGACCAGCCACACUGGGACUGAGACACGGCCCAGACUCCUACGGGAGGCAGCAGUGGGGAAUUUUCCGCAAUGGGCGAAAGCCUGACGGAGCAAUACCGCGUGAGGGAAGAAGGCUCUUGGGUUGUAAACCUCUUUUCUUAGGGAAGAACAAAAUGACGGUACCUAAGGAAUCAGCAUCGGCUAACUCCGUG
rnacentral:rRNA from 1 species